UGCUGGAUUGAUCAGCUUGGUCAGCCUUUACCUGACCAACUACCUAAUACUACGCAGUCUCAUGCUGCUCAUCAAACAGCGCUUUUUCUGAAGCUAUGCAACACUUUUUCUGUUUCAAAACUUUUUCUCCAAAACCGCUUCAGUUGUUUGUUUGUCAACCUCUCUGAAAAUUUUGAUGUCCCCCUUUUUUUGAUCUAUGCUUGCUAUUUUCAGUUCCAAAAUUGCGCCUAAAAACUCUUUUUGAUUUCUCAACCUCUCAACUACAACAAUUUUUGAUGAACUGUUUCAAUUUUUAGUUCUUUAUACCAUCUCGAUCUUUGAACUGCUUUGAUUUUGACUUGUGAGCAACAAUGCGUUUGGUUGAUGAGAUUUGAUGGGUGUGCACACCGUAGUGCUUGGUGUAGGGCAGGUUCCAUUGGGGGAUUUGGGAAUGCUUGACAAACAGUUCCUCUACGUAUUGUGUUGCUUACUGGUUGAGAGGAAUAGGUGAUGUUUCCAGGAUGUGGAAAGUGCUUUUGUGUCUCUAAAAGGGUCAACAUAAGCCUCUUUUUAUAUUCUCCGCUUAGGGAGACAAUUUUUGCUUCUUUCAUACAAGAUUUCAAUUCUCUUUUGUAAAAAAACAAAUCUCAGAUCAUUGAAUUUUCUACAAAAGCUUGGAAUAGUAAAACAAAUCCUAUUGGGCACGAUCAUGCAAGAAGACUGUUUGGAUGGAAUGAAAGUGUGCUGUAUUGUUUAUAGUCUUAAUUAUUAACAAAACUUUAGGCAUCUCUGUACCUAAGGUUGAAUUGAAAUCCCUGUUCCAACUCGAGAAAUAUUUUUAGUCAUCCUAACAGAAUAUGAGAGUCAUUAUAUAUGAGCUACCACCGAACUUUAACAACCAAGAUAAAGAUAAAAGUAACCGUACGAAUAACGAAGAUAAAAUCCUAAAUUCUAGUUUCAUCUGGAGAAAGGUCAGGCAGAAGUUGUCAUUGUAGAACUAUUGGUCACAUAACAAUCUAGAUGAAUGCUAAAUAAAAAAUGUAAUAGAAUCUUUCGCUGGGACUCCAAAUGUCAUCGCCCCCACGGCAUUGGCCAUGGUGUCCCCACCUCUCUGUCUUAGGUUUUUAGCCUUCUAGUUCUUUCGAGCUCUCUAUUUGAAGGGUAUGCUCUUCUGGUUUUUGCGAAUUUAUCUUCUAGUUAUUUUGCAUAAGAAGAACAAACUAGGACUUAACUUAUAAGUUAGUUAAUCCGAUCAAGAAAGCAUACGAAGUUCGCAAUAACAUUACACCCAGAAUGCAAUCCAUGGGUAAACUUUAUAGCCCCUGUUCAAAAAAUUUAGAAAUGUCAAAGUACACUUUACUUCCGAAUGGUUAGAAAACCAGUAUAAAACUAGCAUGACUCAUAUGUAACUUAAAUAGUUGUAAAAAAUUCUGUGCUUGGAGUAAAACUUGACUAUGCCUUGUAUAAUUAGACUUGGCCCCCAAAGUCAUGCUUAUUUCCAACUUUAGCUGUUUUUUAAAUGUAUUCUACUCUUCAUUGCUCUCUCUGAAAAUAAUAGCAACUCCCUGAGUACAGUAACAAGGCAGAACAGGGUGGAAAAUAAUGAGAUGUUCUCAUGGAUUCUAAUUUAUGGAUUUCUUGAAUAAAAAUCAUUGGAUACUUGUGCAAUUGAUAGCUUCUAAAAGGUUGAUCUUCUUGGUGGAAUGUUACAUAAUAUGCUUGAAAAGGACAGUAGGGGCUCUCGGAUAAAACUUACAUUGUAAGUACAAAUCUCCAAGCAGUAAUAUUCACAGUGCUGCCAUUUGUAAGCAUUCAGCUUUUGAAGGUUGUAUUUAAACAGUUAUUCAGCUUCUGAAAUUGGAAUUUUAAAGAAUAAACUACGGAACUAUGUUUACUGGGAGUAUGAUAGAUUAGUCAAUUAAAGAUUAAACUACAGAACUAUGUUUUACUGAGAGCAUGAUAGAUUAGUCACUUAGUCAGAAGUAAGGUGUCUUUGACUCAACAUCAAGACGUUGUCAAAGUGAAUUUUCUGAUUUAGUAGGUAGCCAAUUAUUCAUUACCACAUGCCCAGAUAUUUUUGGUUUUUAUGUCUUGGCUUGUAUCAUUAGACUAGCCCUUCAUGAUCACAAGCGAAGGAAAACAAUUUUGUUUCCAGUAAGAAUUACAUCUUCCCUACAGUAACUGGGAUGAAGUAAGAUACCUAAAUGUUUGAAUUUCCAUACGAGAAGAUGAAUAGCUUUUGAUGUUUUUCUUGUUGAGUAAAUGAUUCUUGGUGAUUUAAGUAUUUAACUAACUGGGAAUGGUCCACGGUGUUUGAAGUUUAUCCACACAAAUCCGUGCCUUCUAACUGUUUGAUUGUAGACUGAGAAUAUAAAUGUUAGAAGGUGCGAUAUCUCAAGGAAGUCAACCAACAGUUAGAGCAGUUGAACACCUCGUCUCUUUGCUAGUUCUUAGCCUUGCAACUAGUCUGUUGCAACUUGCAAAGUUUCUAUAUUUGGAGAUUUGACUCUCAUGAAGGUCUCUUUGUGCCCUUUAACAUUUCUAUAGCAGGAAUACUUAGUAGACUAGAUAAAUGGUGAGACAGAAAAUAACAUUAGAUGCUUCCUUUUAAUUUGAUAAUGCCUACAAAACAGUAUUGGCUUUAUUUUUCUUAAAAUUAGCCUACAGAUUUGAAACAACGAACUAUGAAAGGACAAUCAAGUUUGCUUGGCUUUGCCACUAUAUGAACAAAGUAGCUGCUUUCAAGCUUGAAGCUCUAUUGGCACGCACUCGCACUUGGCAACCCUGUUCUUUUACAAUUGCACGAGCAAUGUCAUGUGUAGGAUGUCUUCUACUGUAUGUUCUAUUGUAAAGAUACACCUAAUACACAACAGUUAUAUUUUUUGGAUUCCAUAUAUUCUUUUCAGAGACAUAGUUUGGA